rnacentral:rRNA from 1 species
AGCGAACGUAUCACUUAAAGCGAUUCAGCGGGUUACGAUUGACGGAGCGAAGCGACGUCAAAGCGUAUACAAAGUCGAGUCGGUUUAAGGAUACGUUCGUUGGGUAGGGGAGCGUUCUGUAAGCCUGUGAAGGUGGCCCGUGAGGGUUGCUGGAGGUAUCAGAAGUGCGAAUGCUGACAUAAGUAACGAUAAAGCGGGUGAAAAGCCCGCUCGCCGGAAGACCAAGGGUUCCUGUCCAACGUUAAUCGGGGCAGGGUGAGUCGACC